rnacentral:snoRNA from 1 species
CUCGGUGCUAUGAUGAUACCCAAUCCAAUGCAUAGUUCAUCUGAAUAUCUCUGAUGACAAACCAUACCUUCAAUUCUUUCGCUCCCAUCUGAUCCACCAUC